CAAGACUGUGGCAGCAUUGCCUACAAUCUUGAGAAACUAGAAAUAACUUAAAUGUCCAACCAUGGAGAUGGAUACACAAAAUGCAAUAUAUCCACACUAUGGAAUACUAUGAAGCCAUCGAAUAGAGCAUGGUAUGCCUUGUAGGCAACCUUGGUGACUUCAGCCCCCGGAAUCUCAGCUUUGUCUCCAAGGCUGGAAAAUGGGGAGAAGCGUUUGGAGGCUCUCUUUUCCCCAUCCUCUCCCAGAGGCAGUAUUUCCUGGAUGUAAGGAGCACCUCUAUGCCGGGAUGGAAAGUGAUGAGAAAGUCAACACACCAACUUGAGCAAGAUCAAAGGAACCAUCCAAUGACUUCUGGGGACUUUAUCAUAGCAAAAAGAAGAUGACCAACUUGAGACCCAGAGGUCAAGUAGCUUACCCAAGAUCACACAGAUGGGAAAUGGCAGCGCUGAAAUUUUAUAAUCACAGAGGCUAGAGUGACGGAUGAGAAGCAAGGAAAGGGGAGGACUACUCCAGGUCAUGGAAACAGCCCAGAUGAAGAUUUAAAGUGAACAAGCACUCGUUUGGUGAAUGUUGACUGAGCACCUACAACAUGCUUCUGGUGGAUUCCCACGUAAACAGAGUGCAAGACCACGCCACCUUUAAGGACACCCUGAAGGCUCUUGCAAUGCCUGGCCUCUCUGGAAGAAUGAAGGCCUGUUGUGAAUUCUUCCAGGUAGUGGGCAGGGAAGGGCAUCUCAGAGGAGCCCCAGUUCAUGCCAACCCCUCCCCAGUUAGGAGUAAAGCUUCAGAAAAGCCAAGCCCAUGAGCUGACCUGGGGCAGAGAUCCUGAGACAAGAAACUGCUCUUGCUCUUUCCUGGUUCUAAAUCCUGCAUGUCUCCAAGCCCCUGGCACAGUCACACACCUGUUAGACAUGAUUCUGGCCCUGCUAAGGUCUGCCCAACUUCAUCUCUCUGAGACUAAGACAC
rnacentral:lncRNA from 1 species